UACAGAGGUCCCAAGCGUUGUUCGGAUUCACUGGGCGUAAAGGGUGCGCAGGUGGGUUGGCAAGUUUGAUGUGAAAUCCCCGGGCUUAACCUGGGAAUGGCAUUGGUGACUGCACGGCUAGAGUGUGUCAGAGGGGGGUAGAAUUCCACGUGUAGCAGUGAAAUGCGUAGAGAUGUGGAGGAAUACCGAUGGCGAAGGCAGCCCCCUGGGAUAACACUGACGCUCAUGCACGAAAGCGUGGGGAGCAAACAGG
rnacentral:rRNA from 1 species